rnacentral:ribozyme from 1 species
GUCGCUCGAAACUUUGCACACCUCUACGUGGUGGGCGGCAGACAACACAUGAGAAUGUGGCGGAGAUGCAAGU